rnacentral:rRNA from 1 species
UCAGGAUGAACGCUAGCUACAGGCUUAACACAUGCAAGUCGAGGGGCAUCAUGGAAUUUGCUUGCAAUUUCCGAUGGCGACCGGCGCACGGGUGAGUAACGCGUAUCCAACUUCCCCUUAGUAGGGCAUAGCCCGGCGAAAGUCGGAUUAAUACCCUAUGUUCUUCGUAGAUGACAUCUGACAUGAAGCAAAGAUUUAUCGCUAAGGGAUGGGGAUGCGUCCGAUUAGCUUGUUGGCGGGGUAACGGCCCACCAAGGCACCGAUCGGUAGGGGUUCUGAGAGGAAGGUCCCCCACACUGGUACUGAGACACGGACCAGACUCCUACGGGAGGCAGCAGUGAGGAAUAUUGGUCAAUGGGCGGUAGCCUGAACCAGCCAAGUAGCGUGCAGGAUGACGGCCCUACGGGUUGUAAACUGCUUUUAUGCGGGGAUAAAGUGCGGGACGCGUCCCGUUUUGUAGGUACCGCAUGAAUAAGGACCGGCUAAUUCCGUGCC